CCAAGCUCACAAAUGCAUGUUCUAUAUCCUGCAACCAACAGUUCCAGAAGGUGUCUUCUGCGAAGCUGUUACCAAGGUAUCAUUCAACAGCAGGCCUACCUGCUUUACGGAAGCCACAUCCUUCUGCUGCAGUCCCAGCUUGUGGGUCAAGUGGACCAGACCACCAGACAGAAGGCUGGCUCAGACCCCAGGGAAUCUCAGAGAACAGCAGUAGUGGCAGCUACUACUUGUCCUGCCAUGCUCUACUUGUCCUGGAACAUGUACCUAAAGAACUCCACUGAGAGAGCCACAUAGAGACAACAACUGAAGUCCUUCCCCAUGCAAAUAGAGCAUCCCUAACAUCUCAGACUGAGCCAAUAGGAAGCCUCUACCCUGGAUCCCAGUCUACUUGCUCCUAAAGUGUUUAUAAGGUCCUUAUGCACAUGAAAUAAAGUGCACAGUUACCGCACCAA
rnacentral:lncRNA from 1 species